rnacentral:rRNA from 1 species
GAUUCCCUAGUACGGCGAGUGAAGAGGGAAGAGCCCAAGACUGAAAGCUGGCGUCUUCGGCGUCCGCAUUGUAAUCUCAAGAAGCGUUUUCCGCUUCGGACCAUGCCUAAGUCCCUUGGAAAAGGGCAUCAUAGAGGGUGAUAAUCCCGUACAUGGCAUGGAGCGCCCGAAGCUUUGUGAUACGCUUUCUAAGAGUCGAGUUGUUUGGGAAUGCAGCUCAAAAUGGGCGGUAAAUGCCAUCUAAGGCUAAAUAUUGGGGAGAGACCGAUAGCGAACAAGUACAGUGAUGGAAAGAUGAAAAGAACUUUGAAAAGAGAGUUAAACAGUACGUGAAAUUGCCAAAAGGGAAGGGUAGGAGGUCAGAGAUGCGGCCUGGGAUUCAGCCUUGCUUUUUGCUUGGUGUUUUUCCCAGGUUGCAGGCCAACGUCGGUUUUGGGCACUGGAGAAGGGUAGGAGGAAUGUGGCACCUCUCGGGGUGUGUUAUAGCCUCCUACUGGAUACAGCGACCGAGACCGAGGACAGCAGCGUACUCGCAAGAGCGGGCCUUCGGGCACCUUUACGCUUAGGGCGUUGGCAUAAUGGCCCUCUACCACCCGUCUUGAACCACGGACCAAA